UGUUUUGUGAAAAAAGAGGAGAAACAUCAGGUAGUUAAUAACUUGUGUUUCGAAAAAAUUAUUAAUAUAUAUCAAAAUGAGAAAAAUAAAAAAAAAUAAUAAAAAAAAAAUAAGGAUUUUUUAUUUUUUGUUUUAAUUUGUUUGCUUUUUUUUUAUAUUUAAUAAAACACUCUUUUGUUCAUAAGGAAGAAUUUUCCUUUUUCAUUAAAAGUUUCUUUUCUUUUUGGAAUGUUUUAUAAGAGAGAAUAUUUUUAUGAAAUAAAAUAAUCAGCAUUAUAUAUAUAUAUAUAUGUAUUUAUAUUAUAUAAUAAAUUGUAAAAGCUGAUAAUAUGUUAUAGUACAUAUCAUAUUUAUAUAUAAAAUUAAAAUUUUUAUAUUAAAUUAAAAAGUGAAUAAUAUGUUAUGUUUUUUAACAAACAAAACAUAUAUAAUAAUAGAACGAAACAAUUAAAUGCACGAAUAGACCAUGCCACUAAAAAUUUUAUUUUCCUAUAGAAAUUAAUAUUUUGGGGAAAUAUAUGUAACAAAGAAACUUUUGAAAAGAAAUGUUUAACACACACAUAAACACAUAAAGUACUGUUAAUAUGAUAUAUAUUUAUAUUAUUAUUAAUAUGUAUAUUAAUCAAGUGAAAUAGAUACAAAGUUUUUUAUAUAUUUAUAUUUAUUAUUAAUGUGUACAAUAUUUUUAUAUGAAUGUAUAUAUAUAUAUAUAUUUUAUAUUGCUGUUUUAAGAGAUAAGUUGUUUAUUUUUUUAUAUAUUAUAAAUAUUAUAUAUUUCAUUAUAUAUUUCAUGAAAUUAUUGCUAAAUUUUUAAUAUGUACACAUAAUUGUAAUUUUUAUUAUAUAAUUUAUUUGUUUGUUUUGAUAUCAUAUAAAAAAGAAUACACACGUCACAGUGUUCUUUAUAUAUAUAAUACAUUAUUUAUAUAUAAGUUUUGUUUUGUUUUAAUAUAAGAAAAAAGCACACGUCACAGUGUUUUUAUAAUAUAAUAUAAUAUUUACAUAUUUGUUUUGUUUGUUUUAAUGUAAGAAAAGAACACACGUCACAGUGUUUUUAUAAUAUAAUAUAAUAUUUACAUAUUUGUUUUGUUUUGUUUGUUUUAAUGUAAGAAAAAAACACACGUCACAGUGUUUUUAUAAUAUAAUAUAAUAUUUACAUAUUUGUUUUGUUUUGUUUGUUUUAAUGUAAGAAAAAAACACACGUCACAGUGUUUUUAUAAUAUAAUAUAAUAUUUACAUAUUUAUUUUGUUUGUUUUGAUAUAAUAUAAAAAAGAAUACACACGUCACAGUGUUCUUUAUAUAAUACAUUAUUUAUAUAUUUGUUUUGUUUUGUUUGUUUUAAUAUAAGAAAAAAGCACACGUCGCAGUGUUUUUAUAAUAUAAUAUGUACAUAUUUGUUUUGUUUGUUUUAAUAUAAGAAAAAAACACACGUCGCAGUGUUCUUUAUAUAAUACAUUAUUUAUAUAUUUGUUUUGUUUGUUUUAAUAUAAAAAAGAAUACACACGUCGCAGUGUUCUUUAUAUAAUACAUUAUUUAUAUAUUUGUUUUGUUUGUUUUAAUAUAAGAAAAAAACACACGUCGCAGUGUUUUUAUAAUAUAAUAUUUACAUAUUUGUUUUGUUUUGUUUGUUUUAAUAUAAGAAAAAAACACACGUCACAGUGUUUUUAUAGUAUAAUAUUUACAUAUUUGUUUUGUUUUGUUGUAAUAUAAAAAAAAAAAGCCCACGUCACAGUGUUCUUUAUUUAAUGUAUUAUUUACAUAUUUGUUUUGUUUUGAUGUAAUAUAUAAUAAGAAGCAUAUAUACAACACAGUAUUUUUACAAUGUAUUUUUUAUAUAUAUAUAUGUUUGUUUUAUUGGCUAAUAUUAUAUUUUAUUUUUAAUAUAUUAUACGUUUUGAAUAUAUGAUAAUCAAUUAUUAAUUAUUUCCAUAUAGAUAUAAUUUUUUCUUUUUUUUUUUGAUUAUUAGUCAAUUUUUAUUGUGUUUUAAAUUAAUGUGUUUAGCUUUUGACACUUUUUAUGUGUGUGUGUGUGUGAUUUUGGGUGUAAGAAUAAUAUUUAGUUCAUACUAUUUUAUUAAAAAAACAUAUAUAUAUCUACUCACUAUAUAAAGAAAAUGACUUUCUCGAAGGUUUAUUUUUAUAAUAUAACCAAAACGUGUAAAUAUGAUUAGAAUUAUAAUAAUUUGAAAGAUUUAAAUUUUUUUUUUAAAAGUUUGGAUUAAGUAGAAUAGAUAUUAUUAAUAUGUAAAUCAAUUUUUUUUUUUUUUUAUAUAACAUUUUCAUAUUAAUUUUGGAAAACGUUAUUUUUCUAUUUCAUAUUACACAAAAUACAGUUUUGGUUAGCAAAAAUGUUAUAUAAAUAUCUGGGUUUUGAAACGUACAGAAGUAUUUUGUAGUGGGAGAGAGAAAGGUAAUAUAUGAAUAUGGUGGUACUUUAACGUUUUGGUGUAACGCUCCUGUGGUGAAUAGAGUUAUUGGUUUCAACAAUAGUAAAAAGAUUCGUACAGAGAUCACAUAUAUUUAUAUAUAGUGGUCUGAAUUAUCUCUAACACUAUUUGAUUAUUAUUCUGUGUAUACAUUUGGUAGAUUCCCUCCGUAUACUUAAGUAUGUAUUGAAAGAAAAGGCUUAAUAUCAAAACGAUUGAUAGUAUAAAAAGUGAAAUACUUUUAUAUAAAUAUAUAAUAUAUACAUAUCAAUAAAUACAUAUAUAAAAAAUAUAUAUAUAUAUAUAUGUAUAUGUUUUGUGUCGAAUUGUAUUCUUUACAAUAUGUACUUUAAGUUAUAUGCAAAAUCACAAGUAUCAUUUGAUAUAUGCAACAUGUAAUAGUCAGCAGAUGACGGAUAAAAAAAAAAUUAUGAAAACUGUAAGUAUUGUUAUGGGUCUAACAGCACCUGCACUGUUGGGGGAUCUUAUUGUUAUUGCUACAAUCUGAAAAAUGUUCCCAUUUUAAGGACAAAAUCUCCUUACUAUGAAGAGAAUUGCCUUCAGCAACAAGGAUCAACUACUAUAUUUGUCAUUGUGAAGGUAUCGUUUCAUCGUAAUAAGUAUCAAACAUUGAUUAGGAAUGAAACUCUUAAAGUAAUAAAUUAUCAUUACUAUUUUGAGUUCUUCUAAUCUUUUAGGAAUACUUAUUGAAUGCAAAUUGAUUUUCUGCGUAGCACUGUACAAAUAUUAUUAGAAAUUCGCGAAGCUCGGUAGUAAAAUAGUAUGAACAAGGUAGAAAAUGCAUUCAAAGUUAUCACACACACAUAUAUAAAAACAAACAAAAAAAAACAAACAAAAAAAAAAAACAAACAUUUGUCAUAUAUAUAUAUAUAUUAAUUUUUUUUAUUUAUUUGUUUUUUUUUAAUAUUUUAUUACUUAUAAUUAGUUAUAUUAUUAAUUUUUUAAAUAAUUUCAUGAUAAAAAUAAAUUGUAAAUUGUUAUGUAUGAAUAAUAAAAUGAUUACGUAUUAUAUAUUAAAUAUAUAUUUGAUUUAUACAUAUUUGAUUGUGCAUUUUUGUAUUUGUGUGUUUUUGGAUGUGUGUGUUUAUUUCAUUUGUGAUUGUGUGUGUGUUAUAGUGUUGCAUAUAAAAAAUUACAGGACCCGAUGUACCUAUUAGGAAAAUGAAUAUGUUGUUAAAGAUUUGUAUUUAUAUUAUGAACAAAUAAUAUAAGGGUAUAAUACAUUUUGCUUUAGAAAGAAUAAAAUGGAUUAUGGGAUAAGGAAUGUGAAUUAUAUGAUGCGGAGGAGAUAUGUAUGAAUAAAUAAUUGUAAUAUGAACGAAUAUAUAUACAAUUAUAGAUAUAUAUAUGAAUGAAUGGAUAAAUAAUUGUAAUAUGAACGAAUAUAUAUACAAUUAUAAGUUUAUAUGAAUGGCAAUAAGUUGCACAUGAGGUAUAUAGUUUAAUAUCCAUUAUUAAUAGAACAGAAGGAUAUUUAUAAGGCAUAUUAAUAUUAUAUGUUAGAAUAUAUAUGAAGAAAGUGAUAUGAUGAAGGGCAUAU
rnacentral:sRNA from 1 species